rnacentral:rRNA from 1 species
GGUAACAGCUCAAAUUUGAAAUCUGGCUCCUCUGGAGUCCGAGUUGUAAUUUGUAGAAGAUGCUUUGGGUUGUGGGUUCGGCCUAAGUUCCUUGGAACAGGACGUCACAGAGGGUGAGAAUCCCGUAUGUGGCCGAGGCCCGCGCCUAUGUAAAGCUCUUUCAACGAGUCGAGUUGUUUGGGAAUGCAGCUCAAAAUGGGUGGUAAAUUUCAUCUAAAGCUAAAUAUGGGCCAGAGACCGAUAGCGCACAAGUAGAGUGAUCGAAAGAUGAAAAGCACUUUGGAAAGAGAGUUAAACAGUACGUGAAAUUGUUGAAAGGGAAGCGCUUGCACCCAGACUUGGGCGCUGCCGAUCACCUUGAGUUCUGCUCGAGUGCACUCGACAGCGCACAGGCCAGCAUCGGUUCGGGUGGCUGGAUAAAGGCCGUAGGAACGUAGCUCUCUUCGGGGAGUGUUAUAGCCUACGGUGCCAUGCAGCCCAGCCGGACCGAGGACCGCGCCUUCGGGCUAGGAUGCUGGCGUAAUGGGUGUAAGCGACCCGUCUUGAAACACGGACCAAGGAGUCUAACAUCUAUGCGAGUGUUUGGGUGCUAAACCCAUACGCGGAAUGAAAGUGAACGUAGGUGAGAACCCCUUUGGGGCGCAUCAUCGACCGAUCCUGAUGUCUUCGGAUGGAUUUGAGUAAGAGCAUAGC